GUGCUUGCUUUGGCAGCACAUACUAAAAUUGGAAUGAUACAGAGAGGAUUAGCAUGGCCCCUGUGCAAGGAUGACAUGAAAAUUGGUGAAGCAGUCCGUAUUUUU
rnacentral:snRNA from 1 species